GGAAGUAAAAGUCGUAACAGGGUCUCCGUUGGUGAACCAGCGGAGGGAUCAUUACAGGACUCGCAAGACUCCUUCACCCUGUGAACCUCACUACAAGCACGUUGCUUCGGCGGGUGUCCCGGCGGGGGUUUUCCCUCGCCGGGGCGCACAGCCCGCCGGCAGCCUACUAUACUCUGUCUCUUUGCGUUGGCAUCUCGAGAAAAAACAAACAAGUUAAAACUUUCAACAACGGAUCUCUUGGUUCUG
rnacentral:misc_RNA from 1 species